rnacentral:lncRNA from 1 species
CUGAAAUUUUAUUGAUAAUUAACAAGGAAUUAUAACAAUAUAAUAACACAUAUACAUAAAUGUAUAAAGCAAGUUUUAAUUCAAACUUGUACCAGAGAGUGAAUUUUGUCAUUUUACCUUUUAUCUUAGUUUCAAAAUUAUUGUUUCAUUAGAAAUGACUAUAUGAAAAUUGUAAAUGACUGAUGAAAGAAAACUCAUAGUCGCAAGUGAGUUACUUUGCAAAAUUAAGACUUUGCACGACUCUUAUAAAU